rnacentral:lncRNA from 1 species
UAGAAUUGAAGAAGUCUGCCCUGACAUUAGCUAAUAAAUGCAUUUAAACACUAUGUUCAUUCCCACAAUACACAAGAUAUAUAAACAUAGGUCCUCUCCAAUACUCCUCGUUCCAGUUCCGACAACUUUGAUGGAUAGAGAUCAUACAUACAUUCGAAGACUAGAAAUCGGUUCAUAUAUGAAUGAGUUGUCUAGGCUUGGCAGGAAUCAGAAAUUAUUUAUGGCUUUUCAAGCAUAUCCAUGUGAGCAAUUCAAUCUCUUUGGCCUCUUCUAGAUGACUUUGAUGUGCAUCAUGCCCAUAUUUUUGAUCCAAAUGACAUGAAUCGGCACCAAAUACAAUCAUUGCACGUACAAAGAUUCCAAAUGCUUGAAGCUGGAAGGAGCCAAUGUUCCUUCUAUUUAGUGGCUAUUUUCCUGCUAGGUUUUAAGAUGUAGCUUUAGCUACUGUGAUUGUUCUCGUCCCGGCUGCCGUUCUAGCGAACUUGUACAAACAGAGAACUGCAGAGCAAUAUUACUCGCAAAUAGUCAUCUAUUCGUCAAUUUAUGUCUUCUUGCAAUCUCUAUUGUACAUUUUCUUCUUAGACAAUUAACGUUUACAUAUGGUAGCUAAACAGAAAUUAAAAGAAUAUAAAGGUAUAACAGCUCCGAAAGGGCACACGGAUCACGGUAGUAACAGCUUUAUAACUAUUGAUGGCAAAUUUUAACAUGCUCCUUCUUACCCCUCUUUUUAUAUGUGACUUAAAAAGGUAAGAGCUAAUCAUAUCACUAAUCCAUAAGAUCAAUGACUCAGAUUUAUUAUAUACUCUUACCUUUUAUGUGGAAAAACUGGGUAAGAAGAAGCAUGUUAUAACUUCUCACCACUGAUACUAGGAGCAAAAACUGUAAGUGAAAAGAUUUAGUCGUCUGUAGGUGCUAAGGUCAUUUCUAACCGAUCCCUUAUAUCGGCCAGAGGAGUGAAAAUGUGGGUUUACCCUUCUAACCAGCACCUAACCGAUCCCCAAUCUGUCAUAAGAGAGUAUUUUUUUU